rnacentral:rRNA from 1 species
AACUGAGACACGGUCCAUACACCUACGGGUGGCCGCAGUCGAGAAUCUUCCGCAAUGGGCGAAAGCCUGACGGAGCGACGCCGCGUGGUUGAUGAAGUCCUUAGGGACGUAAAAACCUUUUAUGAGGGAGGAAGUUUAUUGACGUUACCUCAUGAAUAAGGGGUUGCUAAACUCGUGCCAGCAGCAGCGGUAAUACGAGUGCCCCGAGCGUUAUCCGGAAUCAUUGGGCGUAAAGGGUGUGUAGGCGGCUUUGUUAGUCUCUUGUUAAAUUUCCCGGCUCAACCGGGAUUCUGCAGGGGAAACGGCAAAGCUUGAGGGUGCGAGAGGUGUACGGAACUCAUAGUGUAGGGGUGAAAUCCGUUGAUAUUAUGGGGAACACCAAAAGCGAAGGCAGUACACUGGCGCAUUCCUGACGUUGAGACACGAAAGCGUGGGAAUCGAACGGGAUUAGAUAAACGCUCGCCGAGAGUUUUGAAAAGCACGAUAGAAAUUUUGCCGUCGCAAAAUUUCUUCUCUGCUCGGAAAAUUUUUUGCUAAAAAUUUUCCUCCGCAAGGCUUUUCAAAACUCUCGACUCGCUCCUAUUAAAGGGAGAAGAGAAGGAGCAAAUGUCUCAUCUGUUGGUAACAACAGAAAGCAAAUUUGGCUAUAUGCUGGAAACUCUGGAGUAUUUAAGGGGAAACCCAACAAGUGUGACCGUAAGGUCGCCAGACAAUCAGCAGGGAAGACUAUAGUAGCUUAUAUUUAUCAGCUGUUAGGAUUUAGGAAAUUUCUAAAACCUAACAGCUAAGAUCUAACAGCUAUUUAGAACCCUCAGAGACUAAACGCCAAACUCCAAGCAUUUUGCAGAGCAAAAUGCAGAUUCAAGAAGCAAGAUUUAAGAUUCAAGAAUUAUUCCUGGAUCAUGAAUCCUGAAUCAAGAUUCUGCAUGAGUUCACGAAUGCAUGGAUGAAGAUAUAGUCCGACCUCUAUGGUGACAUAGAGAGACAGGCAGAAAUGUCCUGUCCGGUAUCAACUGAAUUUCGUUUGAAAAUUUAUUUUUUAAACAUUAUUUAAAAAUUAAAAAUUCAAAAAUUAGAAAUUCUUUUGUUAUUUCGUAACAAAAGUGACCCCGGUAGUCCACGCCCUAAACGAUGUUCAUUAGCUUUUCGGAGUAUCGACCCUCUGAGAGGCGUAGCUAACGCGUUAAAUGAACCGCCUGGGUAGUACGGCCGCAAGGCUAAAACUCAAAGGAAUAGACGGGGACUUGCACAAGCGGUGGAUCAUGUGGUUUAAUUCGAUGCUAAACGAAGAACCUUACCAAGCCUAGAAAUCUAUCUGAACUCCAGCAGAAACGUUGGAGGUCCGCAAGGACAGAUAGACAGGUGCUGCAUGGCCGUCGUCAGUUCGUGAUUUGAAUUGUUCCCUUAAGUGGGGUAACGAACGCAACCCUCAUUGCCUGUUAUAAGUGUCAGGCGAGACUACCCACCACCAAACCCGGAGGGUUUGGUGGAAGAAACAAGGUAAAAGAAACAAGAAACAAAAAAAUUAAAUAUAAAACUUUUGUAUCUUGUAUCUUAAAUUUUGUAACUUCCAAACCAGUUCUAUUGGUUUGGUGGUGGGAGGAAGGUGAGGAUGACGCCAGGUCAGCAUGGCCCUUGACGGCUUGGGCUACACACGUGAUACAAUGGCUGCUACAACAUGUUGCGACGGGGUAACCCUGAGCUAAUCAUUAUAAAGGCAGCCCCAGUUCGGAUUGAGGUCUGCAACUCGACCUCAUGAAGUUGGAAUCGCUAGUAAUCGCGGGUCAGAAUACCGCGGUGAAUACGUUCUCAAGUCUUGUACUCACCGCCCGUCAAUUCAGGGAAGUUGGAAGUACCCGAAGUCCCAGCACUAA